CUUGAAAAGCAAAUGUAGGCAUAAGUAACGAUAAGGCAGGCGAGAAACCUGCCCGCCGAAAGGAUAAGGUUUCCUGAUCAACGCUAAUCGGAUCAGGGUUAGUCGGGGCCUAAGGAGAACCCGAAGGGGAUAUUCGAUGGACAACGGGUUAAUAAUCCCGUACUUUUUAUAACUGCGAUGUGGGGACGGAGUAGUGACACUGCCGCGAUCUGACGGAAUAGAUCGUUGAAGGCUGUAGGUAUUGGACUGGUAGGCAAAUCCGCCGGUCUAGCUGAACGCUGAUAGUACUGCAAACCUUCGGGGGCGUAGAUAGUGCAGGUAAUCAGACUUCCAAGAAAAACCGCUAAGCUUCAGGUUAUAAAAACCCGUACCGCAAACCGACACAGGUAUCCGGGAAGAGAAUUCUAAGGCGCUCGAGUGAAUCAUGGCUAAGGAACUCGGCAAAAUGGCCCUGUAACUUCGGGAGAAGGGGCGCUGGUAGUAAUAUCAGCCGCAGUGAAAAGGCCCAGGCGACUGUUUAACAAAAACACAUGGCUUUGCAAAAUCGAAAGAUGAAGUAUAAGGCCUGACACCUGCCCGGUGCUGGAAGGUUAAGAGGGGAUGUCAUCCGCAAGGAGAAGCAUUGAAUCGAAGCCCCAGUAAACGGCGGCCGUAACAAUAACGGUCCUAAGGUAGCGAAAUUCCUUGUCGGGUAAGUUCCGACCUGCACGAAUGGUGUAACGAUCUGGGCGCUGUCUCAGCCAUGAGCUCGGUGAAAUUGUGGUCCCGGUGAAGACGCCGGGUACCCGCAACGGGACGGAAAGACCCCAUGCACCUUCACUACAAUUUAACAUUGACAUUGGAUACGAGAUGUGUAGGAUAGGUGGGAGCCUAUGAAGUGGCAUCGCUAGGUGUUGUGGAGUCAACGUUGAAAUACCACCCUUUUUGUAUUCGGUGUCUAACCCGACCUAGUUGGGGACAUUGUUUGAUGGGUAGUUUGACUGGGGUGGUCGCCUCCAAAAAGGUAACGGAGGCUUUCAAAGGUAAGCUCAAUACGCUUGGUAACCGUAUGAGGAGUGCAAUAGCAUAAGCUUGCUUGACUGUGAGGCAGACAAGCCGAGCAGGGUCGAAAGACGGAUAUAGUGAUCCGGUGGUUCUGCAUGGAAGGGCCAUCGCUCAAAGGAUAAAAGGUACGCUGGGAUAACAGGCUGAUCUCCCCCAAGAGCUCAUAUCGACGGGGAGGUUUGGCACCUCGAUGUCGGCUCGUCACAUCCUGGGGCUGGAGAAGGUCCCAAGGGUUCGGCUGUUCGCCGAUUAAAGUGGCACGCGAGCUGGGUUCAGAACGUCGCGAGACAGUUCGGUCCCUAUCUGUUGUGGGCGUAGGAAUUUUGAGUGGGGCUGACCUUAGUACGAGAGGACCGGGUUGGACUAGCCUCUAGUGAAUCUGUUGUUCCGCCAGGGGCAUUGCAGAGUAGCUACGCUGGGAAUAGAUAAGCGCUGAAAGCAUCUAAGUGCGAAACUAGCCACGAGAUGAGAAUUCCAUAUAGGACCGUAGCAGACUACUACGUUGAUAGGUUACAGAUGUAAAGGUGGUGACAUCAAAGUCGAGUAAUACUAAUAAUUC
rnacentral:rRNA from 1 species